rnacentral:lncRNA from 1 species
AGAAAAAGAAUACUUAGCCAGUUCAAAAAGAAUACUUAGCCAGUUCAAACUUCUUUUUAUCUUCUUCUUCUGGUCAGCCGUAUUUUUGUGUCACUCAUCGACUUUACUGACCAUUUUGGAGUUGGGGCUUUCCUUAGAUGAGAUAGAUGUAUCCAACUUUCAAUUCCUUUUAGUUUUGCUGCAGAUGGAUUUACCAGCAAUACCUGAUGAGGUCCGUCCCAUCUGACUUGUAGAGCAUCCUUUCGUAGGUGCCUCUUUCUGUAUACCCAAUCUCCGGGCUUCACUUUAGAUGUUGAGGGUGUUUCUGAGGAAGAAUUCCUGGAAACUGACUGAGAUAUAAGGUGGUUAAGGCCUUGGAGAGUUUUUGCUAGUCCCUGGCAGUAUGAUAAGAGGGAAACCUUGGUGCUCAUGGAGUCAGUAUAGGGUGGAAAAAGAGACAUUGGCCGACCUGUGAUUAUCUCGAAUGGUGAGAGUGAGAGCUUGCCAAAAGGUGUGGCUCUCAGGUGAUUCUAGGGGCUCAGGUAUGCUGUCUAAAGAGGUUGCUGGGUUGCUAGAGCCUUUCAGGAGUUCUUUAAGGCUUUCUACCUCCUUCUGUAAAUCAGCUAUUUGCUUUUUAGUGGCUUCCCUGCCUUGUUCACCUUGAUUCUCCUCCUCCUCCCUUACCUUUCUCUUGUUCUUACCCGUCUCUUGUUCUACGGAUCGUUCUGACCUGUGUUUUCUCUGGGUGUACUCCUCGAGCCAUUUGUUGAAGACUUCUCUUUCAUCUCCUUCAAUUUCUCGACCUGCUUCACUUAAAACAGACUGCAGAAACAACAUCCUUUCCUCAUUAAGUGAACCCCACCUUGGCCAGCUUACCUUCGGAUUGGCCUUUGUCAUCGCUUGCCAUUUCUCUAAGUACUUGCUUGCAUCAGGUCCAUACUUCCAAACCAUGUAACUUGCGGCCGUAUUUCUAGGUGGUUCUUUGGGCUGCUGACCGCCCCCACCAAAUUUUGGGACAACAGACAAGCUGUUACCCAUGUCCAAUGACUAUGGACAAAUUGACUAAGGAUCCCUUAAUUAAAAGAGCGAGUUAUUCCCAAACCAGAGAUGCGAGUCCUUCCUCCGAGAGAGCCGCUUACCUGGCCCUUGCUAACCGGACUCCUGACCCAACCCCAAACAGGUUGUGUGUGGUACCUCAAGUCUGGGGUCCUCGUUAGCUGGAGGGCUCAGGCCGCGGGGACUUCGGA